AUUGAACGCUGGCGGCAGGCCUAACACAUGCAAGUCGAGCGGAGCGGCGGACGGGUGAGUAAUGCCUAGGAAUCUGCCUGGUAGUGGGGGAUAACGUCCGGAAACGGGCGCUAAUACCGCAUACUAUCAGAUGAGCCUAGGUCGGAUGAGCUAGUUGGUGGGGUAAAGGCCUACCAGGGCGACCAUCCGUAACUGGUCUGAGAGGAUGCUCAGUCACACUGGAACUGAGACACGGCCCAUACUCCUACGCGAGGCAGCAGUGGGGAAUAUUCCACAAUGGGCGUAAGCCUGAUCAAGCCACGCGGCGUGUGUGAAGAAGUUCUUCGGAUUGUAAAGGACUUUAGGUCGAGAGGCGUUACCGACCAAAGAAGCACCGACUAACUUCGUGCGCGCAGCCGCGGUAAUUC
rnacentral:rRNA from 1 species